UGACUCCUCCAACCAUUCGCUACUCAUGACUGAGAUAAGCUCUCUAAAAUGGCCGUUUUAGGGUCUGUCUAUAGAAUGGUAGUUUGAAAUGUUUUCAAAAUCGGUAAAAAGAUCAGAUUCUAUAUCCAGCAUGAAAUCAGGUGGUGGAAUUUCUUCCUUUUGUGGCUCAGAACUUGGGAUAGCUAAAGUUGAUGGAGAAUUUGGCAAAGUGUCUACUUCGGCUUCGUGGGUUUCAUCAUGAAGGGUAUUAUCCAUCUUAGCUUCUAGGAUUCUAUCUAGGAUCGCUCUAGCGUCAUCAGUAGGAAUGCGAAAGAAAGAACCUCUUGACAUUGUAUGUAGCAUUUGUUUAUGAUCUUUCUGAAGACCUCAAAAAAGUGAAAUAAAAGAACAGGUUCUUCAAGAUUAAGUUUUGGACCAGAUUCUAAAAGAUCAGAAAAACAUUUCUAGGAUUUUCCCAAAGUUUCAUUAUCUUUUUGUUUAAAAGAUAGGACUUCGAGUCUAAGGUCGCCGAUACGGUCGAGGGAAUAAAAAUCUAGACAAAAGUUGGCUCGUAAAACUCCCCAUUCACCUCGUUGUUGACUUACCUUAUGACUAUACAAUCGUCUAGCUUCUCCCCUUAGAGAAAAAGGAAAAAGCUUCCAACGUAAAGUUUUAUCAGAAAUGCCUUCAAUGCGAAGACAAUCACAUGUUUGCUCAAAAUCUCUAAUAUGAAUUCGUCUUCCUUUCCCGAAAAAGAUAGGUUUUGAAUCAUGGCAAUCAACCCAGAACUUAACCUAUACUGGGAUGUUUGUAUAGGCUGUGAUGACUCCCAUGGUAAAAGGUCAGUUACUGAAGGUGUUGCACAUUCAUGGAUCGAUUUAGAAUUCUAGUUUUCCAUAAGGUAAAAAUAAAGAAAAAUAAAAAUAUAAAAAAAGAUAAGUAAAAGGAUAAAAGUAUAGAUACAAGCUAGUAGUAAGACUCAAGGUUAUCUCAGCAAACCGUCUUUCUCCCCGGCAACGGCGCCAGAAAUGCUUGUUGAUAUUUGGUAACGCAAUCAGGAAUUAAUCCGCAAGCGCAUGGAUAUCGAUGAGCACUUCACCUAGGAUGUUAUCCAGAGUAUCGUAUUUAUAUUUUUACCACUAGGAGAAAGCGUGCAUCUGAAUAACCAAAUCUAUUACUAUUAACCUUUAGGCUAUAACCACUAUGAUUCGAUGUGAGUGAUGUAUAGAGAAGACUUCAAUUGCACCCUCAUUCUAACCUUGGUAAGGAUGAUCUACUGUUCUAUUGGCGAGGCUCAUGGAAUCUAGACACCAUAGAGGAGUUCGACCUGCACCUAUAAAGCCUAUCGAUCCUACUAACGGGAUUAUGGGCUACAAAGGUAGCUCGAAAAUGUCACGUUCCUCGCUACUACCACGGUCUGGCUAGACAAGAGAUAUCUAUGAGUAUCCUAGCCCAAACACCACAUUUACGCUAGAGAUGAUUACUCUAAACUCUACGUGAAGAUAUCAAAGUACACUCAUAAACCAAAGAACAAUAAAACAAAGAACUUACUAGAAUUUAGAAGUCGAAAUACUGAAGAAUCCUAGGAGCAAGCCUCGGGUUAAGAGACUUGAUCCCGCAGGUACAACCUCAGAGUAGACACCGAUAGGCUGGGCUUCCUCCGAUCUACACCUCCACUCUAUCUCUCUCAAUCUAGUAGAACUAAUUCUACUCUCACAUUGGAUGCUAUGCCCUAUGAGGUUGGAACCCUAAAGGAACCUCUCUGUCUGAAUCCUCUCUGGAAAAUAUGCUAAUGAAUAAUGGGAUUGCCCUCCUCCAGAGGCCAGGGGUCCUGCUUAUAUAGUCCCCUCAAGUGAAUCUGGGCCGUCAGAUCAAACCGACCUUAAUUGAACGGUUUUCCUUAAUCCUCA
rnacentral:lncRNA from 1 species